rnacentral:lncRNA from 1 species
CAGAUAGUCACUGUAUUCAGUGAUUCAGAACAGAUCAAAGUAUAUAAAAUAAACUAAGCAGAAACAGAAAAAAAGCAAAAUAGGUGCAAGUCGCUGUUAUCCCCAAAUAAAAUAUUAAACAAUCUCUGGAUUUUAGAAGAAGCAGUAGUAGAUCUCUAACAGCACUGUGAAAAUCACCCAUGCUACUUCUACUCAAGUCUUAACUAUAACAAAUUUCAAAAUUUGCUACACCUGAUACACCAGAUUUAUCCAUGUUAGCUGAUUUCUUGCUAGCUGACAGCACCUGUUUUAUUCUAAACUAGUUACAGCUAAUUGUCAAUAAAUGGAGAGAAGGUAAUCUUGCUAUUGUGUCUUGACUGUUUACUGGCAAAUGUUCUUAAAGCUUUUCUUUUUUUUUUUCUUCCUUCUCUUCCUUUUAGGUAAAGUAUUUCUAUAUGUGUAAGUUUGCAGGGGAAAAAAAGAGUAAAAUAAAUAGCAGUCAUUAAUGAUCUUUUCCCUAUGAUUUCUAAAGCUGGAAAUGUGUUUGUGUAGCUGUUUUGUGUUGCUGAUUAAUGUAAUUGAGCCUCAAUUAGCGAGACCAAAAAAGUGUAUUUGAUUAUGCAAUGGCUGGAAGACCACUAAAUAUCAGAUUAACCAGUUGGACACACUGGAUAUUGGCAAUUAUUCUGCUGCUGUGGAGUCAUCAGGUCAGUGGACAAGGACAAGUGUGUGUCAGGCUGAACCAGAAGGAAAAUUUGUGUCACAGUGGGUCUUCCUCGAAAGAUCUGCUACUGUCAGGAUGAUCUAGGUCCCAAAAUGUUCCUCCUUCAAUCCUGAGAAGAAUGCCAUUUUUGUCCUUUGGCUUGUUGUUAGGAAUUUAGAUGUUUUGGCAUAAGCAUAGUCUUUGUGUUUGUCCAAAUCCCAGACAAGUUCCUCCUCCUGGAGGAAAAAAUCAUUAAUUUUCUAAUGGCUUUUGCAGUACAAUUUUGUUUCUUCAGCAGUUUCACCCUCUCUCUCCAUUUCCCUGUUGCACAAACCUGCACUGAUGUACUCCUCCCAGUGGCUGAACCUGACAAAUCUUUUUUCAAAUCACAAAGAUUCUCUGAACUUUCUCUUGAGCAACCUUGAAUUUUUCCCCACUCUAAGC